rnacentral:tRNA from 7 species
UGGUCACUGGCGCAAUGGCAGCGCGUCCCGUUGUUAGCGGGUUGGUUCUAGGUUCGAGUCCUAGGUGGCCAGC